rnacentral:lncRNA from 1 species
CAGAGAAACUGGUGUGGAUGUUAGAACUUUCGUUUAGGCUUGGAAGUCACUGGCCAGGACUGCCUCUGCCUCGUUUCUGGGGCUCAGAGACUGUAUGUGAGUGUGGGUGUGUAGUGUUAGCAGUAGUAAUUGGACUGAGUGACUGCCUCAGUUCAUCUGAAAAUGGUACCCAUGUCUUGCAUCAUUAUGAGGAAUGGAUGAGUUUAUGCAUGAAAUGCAUUUAGAAGGGCGACUGGCACAGUCAGUAAAAGUUAACUAUUAUUAUAUGAGGCUACAGCAGCAGAAAAAGGGGAGGGAGCAUCUUGCCAGCGGAGGGUCCUCCAGUCCCCUGUGCUGGGUGGGGCCUAGACAGUCUGCCCACCUGGUUUGGUAAAGAAGGGUCACCGGCAGUGCAGAGGAGUGAGCCAGCACUCAUCCAGGUGGCCAGACCCCUAGUGGGGGCCAGGAUCUCACAGGACACUGUCAGCUCACUCUCUGAGCCCUCCUCCCCCUUCCUCCUCUCAGGACACAAGGCAUGCAGGCUCCCCUAGUCAGGGGAGGGUGGGCUCCUGCUCCCUCUUGCACCCCCAGUGCUCCUCCCCCAAGCCUGGAAAAAACCACCAUCCACGCUCUCCUGGCUCAGUAAUUUUCCAACUGACCUGGAAUUCCUCCUGACUGCUGCCCUCUUUUCUGGGGCAAGAGGGACACCAGCUAAGGGACCCAGGACUCCACCCAAUCCUCUCUGCUGGCCACAAAUGGGUGUGCCAAAGGCUUUGGAAAGCGAUUGCAGCCCUGGAGGGUCACCUGCUGGGAGGCUGGGGAAGGGGUAAGUGUGCCCAGAGAGGCAACUUAUUCAGUGAUCCAGAAAAUAGAGUAGAUUCUUGUUUUUUUCUCCCUCUCUUCUCUCCUGUGCCCACUCUCCUCAUCACCAUCACCAGGGCUCCACUGUUCCUCUCUCCCUUCGAGAUUUCCCAUUCUUCUCUGCCUUCAAUUGGAAGUUCCCUUAGAGACCCUCUGGCCAACUCCUUCUUACCCAGCCUCAGAAUAUGGAAGGGACUUGUUCCCACAUCAUGCCUGGUUGAUGUCAGGGCCAGCCUUGGAGCCCUGUGCCUUGGUGCUGGAUCCAUGGCUACAGUCAACUAGGUCCUCCCUUUCAAAAGCAUCUUCCCCCUGAUUUUACAGUAUUCAAAUCAACAAUGCACAUAAAUCGGAGUGCUCUCCACUCCAUGGAGGAAGAAAGACACAACUGGGCCCCCCACCCCAAGGGCAGCCUGGGCCCCCAGUUCUCUCCCACCUGCACAGUUCAGUCUUGUUAAAGGCAUCCUAGAAACAGGCAUCUUCUGGGACCUUGCUCAACAGCUGAUAAAGGGAACAUUUUACUGUCAACAUAUCCUAUUUCCCCCGCCCCUUUCCCGAUACACAGCCUUAAGCAGAAAGAAAAAAAUCUGAAAUCUUUUUUAACUUCAGAAAGAGGGACUGAGUGAGCCAUCAGGAAGCUCUUUCUGCUUCCGAGAACAGCAAACAGUAGGAAGAGUAACUCGGGGAGAAUACGACAUCUCUUGCAAGGGCUGGUCCUGGGUGGGUGGGGUGCGGCUCGGCCCGGGGGACCAGGGGCUGGCCGGCAUAGCUCGCGCGGGUAAUGGCUGCAGACCGGCCGCGGGGAGCGGAGGCGCCCCGAGAAGCCGGGCAGGUACUACCUAAAUGUUUGGUGGCGAGGGCGAGGGCGAGGGG